UACGGAGGGUGCAAACGUUGCUCGGAAUCAUUGGGCGUAAAGCGCACGUAGGCGGUCCGGAAAGUCGGGUGUGAAAUCCCUCGGCUCAACCGAGGAAGUGCAUUCGAAACUUCCGGGACUUGAAUAUGGAAGAGGGUCGCGGAAUUCCCGGUGUAGAGGUGAAAUUCGUAGAUAUCGGGAGGAACACCAGUGGCGAAGGCGGCGACCUGGGCCAAUAU
rnacentral:rRNA from 1 species